AGCUCCCUGAGUGGUAGGGAUGAUUAUUUGGCCUAAAACGUUCGUAGCCGGCUUAGCAAGUCUUCCGUUAAAUCCAGCGACUCAAUCGUUGGUCUGCGGAGGAUACUACUAGGCUAGAGGACGGGAGAGGUUGACGGUAUUCCCAGUGUAGGGGUGAAAUCCAAUAAUCCUGGGAGGACCACCAGUGGCGAAGGCGGUCAACGAGAACGUGCCUGACGGUGAUGGACGAAAGCUGGGGGAGCGAACCGGAUUAGAUACCCGUGUAGUCC
rnacentral:rRNA from 1 species